GACGAACGCUGGCGGCGUGCUUAACACAUGCAAGUCGAACGGUAACAGGAAGCAGCUUGCUGCUUCGCUGACGAGUGGCGGACGGGUGAGUAAUGUCUGGGAAACUGCCUGGUGGAGGGGGAUAACUACUGGAAACGGUAGCUAAUACCGCAUAACGUCGCAAGACCAAAGAGGGGGACCCUCGGGCCUCUUGCCAUCGGAUGUGCCCAGAUGGGAUUAGCUAGUAGGUGGGGUAACGGCUCACCUAGGCGACGAUCCCUAGCUGGUCUGAGAGGAUGAACAGCCACACUUGAACUGAGACACGGUCCAGACUCCUACGGGAGGCAGCAGUGGGGAAUAUUGCACAAUGGGCGCAAGCCUGAUGCAGCCAUGCCGCGUGUAUGAAGAAGGCCUUCGGGUUGUAAAGUACUUUCAGCGGGGAGGAAGGCGAUAAGGUUAAUAACCUUGUCGAUUGACGUUACCCGCAGAAGAAGCACCGGCUAACUCCGUGCCAGCCGCCGCCGUAA
rnacentral:rRNA from 1 species